rnacentral:rRNA from 1 species
GACGAACGCUGGCGGCGUGCUUAACACAUGCAAGUCGAACGAAGUGGCGAACGGGUGAGUAACGCGUAAUCAACCUGCCCUUCAGAGGGGGACAACAGUUGGGAACGACUGCUAAUACCGCAUACUGAAGGUGGGGAUUGCGUCUGAUUAGCUAGUUGGGGGGGUAACGGCCCACGAAGGCGAUGAUCAGGAGCCGGUCUGAGAGGAUGAACGGCCACAUUGGGAAUUAGACACGGGCCAGACUUCUACGGGAGGCAGCAGUGGGGAAUCUUUCGCAAUGGACGAAAGUCCUAAGGAGCAACGCCGCGUGAGUGAUGACGGCCUUCGGGUUGUAAAGCUCUGUUAAUCGGGACGCGGUACCGGAAUAGAAAGCCACGGCUAACUACGUGCCAGCAGCCGCGGUAAUAC